AAGUAACAAAUUCGUCAAAACUGCCUGUGCAGAUUAGCUGACUUUGGAAGCAUGUUAUGAACAACUCAGAAUGAAUGCGAGAAUGAGCCUUAUAUACAUGGAAAGCUACGGAUGUCUAUUUUUUGGAGCAAUUUACAGAUUGUUAAUAUCAUUCUUCUAGAAGAAGUUAUGGGCAUUGUAACACUGAAAGGUUCAGAAAAUGGCUAACAGAUUGGGCUAAUAAAGUGAGAAAGUAAAGGCACCUGUUUUGUGUUUUGCUUUGUCAUCAACACUCAGCAGCAAAUAGGGUUAUGAUUGCACUCAUUUGGCUUUGGAGCAAGUGGAAAUGCACAGCUAGAAGAUGAACAAGGCACAUGGAAGAAACAUGGACAAAACACACACACAAAGAGAAAGGCAUGGCAUGGACAGUUUGACAUGGGCAGAAAAUGGGUGGAUUGUUGGCUGAAAUAAUGAAGAAUAUGUGUGUGCAAAUGCAAAGGAAAAACACACACACAUGAGCAAAGAAAAUACACACACAUGGGCAGAAAAUGGGUUGAUUUGUGGCUGAAAUGAUGGAGGUCAUGUGUGUGCAAAUGUAAAGGGAAACAUGGACAUCACACACCCAUACAAACUACAUGCAAGGAAUUGAAGUGGUCCUCUCCUUAGCCUAUAAAUACAUCCACCAUUCCCCUUCCUAAAAACAAUCUUGAUCCAUCAAAAGAGCUUCAUUCACAAACACAAUUUCCUUGUAGUGACCUCCAUCCAUUCAUUUAGCCAUACUACAUCUCACCGAUCCAUACACUUUCAUCUCUUAGCUGUGCAAAUCCAUUCCAUCCAUUCAUCUAGCCAUACUACAUCUCACCAAUCCAUACACUUUCAUCUCUUAGCUGUGCAAAUCCAUUCCAUCCAUAUAUCCAUACACAUCCUAGACACUUGUGCUACAACAAGGUGGUGAAAACAAACGUCCUUGGCGUUUCAAGCUUGGAACUUUGGAGCGUUUUAGGUGUACUUCGUUCUUGCUUU
rnacentral:lncRNA from 1 species